UUUAGAUAAACUGGGGGACUGGGCACCCAAAUAGCAGAUGAAAUUUAACAUUUAACAUUGAAAAAUGCAAAGUUAUGAACUUCGGCAUAAAGAAUGCACAAGCAAAGUAUAUUCUUAAUGGAAGCAAAUUAGAGAUAACAACACACGAAAAGGACUUGGGAAUUGUUAUAGACAACAAACUAUGCAACAAUGUGCAAUGUCAAUC